UGUCUUAAAAAUAUAAAAUCUCUUAGUCACAGCUCUAAGUCAGUGAUUAGAGGCAGUGUUGGCAGCAUUUUAUAGUUGAUAUCUUCUGUUACCCUUAGAAAAAUCUAACACAACAAUAUGAUGGUAAUAGUCUUGAAAGUACAGAUGACCCUUGAACAACAUGGGUUUGAACUGCACAGGUCCGCUUAUAUGCCAGUUUUUUUCAAAAAUGCAUAAUACAGUAAUACACAAUCUGCAGUUGGUUGGAAUUACAGUUAUGGAGGGCCGGCUGUAAAGUUAAAUGCGGAUUUUCUACUGCAUAGAGCGUCAGCACUCCUAACCCCUGCGUUGUUCAAGGGUCAGCUGUAUUCUAAAACUAAUUCAAAAUGAGUGAAAUGUGAAAUUAAUUGCCCAAGGACAGUAAGAGGUACUCCUUUCUUCCUACUAAAAAUGAAACAAAACCAAAUUCCUAGUUAAUAUUUAUUCCCCUUUUAGUAAAAAAUACCUUGUUGUGGUAAUGGCAAUAUCAUAGUAUUUAGUAUUAUUUCUUUUUAAAACAAAAUAUUCCUCUAAUUCUACAGUUAAAAUUUAUGAUAGUAUGAGAAGAAAGUCAAAAUAUUUCAUUCUUUUUUCUUGCAUUAAAAGUGAUUGGGCUGGUUCCAGAUAAAGAUGAAGAAGCACUCUCCACCAUGGCUCUUCCACUGAAUAUAGCUACGAAUGCACAGAGCAGCUGUUUGAGGACUCUGAAAAGAAAAUAGCAGCUACAGUUACGUGAGACAGCAUCAAGAUAAACAUCUAAACCAAUGGAACAGAAUAGAGAGCCCAGAAACAGACCCACACAUACAUGGAUAACAUUUUACAAAGGAGCAAAGGCAAUCACUCAAGGAGGUGUUCCUCUAAAAUGGAAUGAAUGAAGAAAGACGAAGACAUGGGAUAUAGGAAGUGGAUGCCUAACAUAGGAGACAGCAGGAAGGAAUCCCCAGGACGGUGGUGAAGAGGGAACUCAGAUGACAGCUGUGCCACAGGGAUGGAGCCACCAGACCAGAUCAGAGGCAGGUCAGAGGGCUCCUGAGGCAGUUCUUUAAGAAAAGGAAAAAAAUCUGAUGUGAAUGAAUUUACUAUGAAGGGAUGUAAAUAACUGAUAGAGAGGUUGGUGGUGAAGUAGUGAUCGGUACACAGAAAACCAAGCAAAUUUUAAAAAUAUUAAUUCUAGGGAAAACAUCAUGGUACACAGGAAAAGAAAAUCAGAGUGAUAAUAGCUUGGCCCUGAGUUGCCUUCAUAAUAAUGAAAACACUGAAUAUUAAAAUAUAACUGAAAUCGGGGGGGAAGGAAUAUGGGGCGGAUGGAGGUUCCCUAGCGAAGUCAGUUGAAGAGCUCAUUUCCUUAUCUGUUGAAGUCUUCAACAGGUAGUGCCUAAGAUGAGGUUAAAAAAGAAAAACACUUAAGUAUACAAAUAUAAAAAGAAUCAGUAAAAAGGGUUAAACCUGGUUUUUGCUCUUCAAGGAGAACAGGGGAUGGAGGUGGGGGAAAAGGGCUGAAACUGCUGUUGUCUUAAAACCAUGAAGAGCCAUCUGAGGCUUCAAAUGAUUGACUCUGAUUAAAAUACUGAGUUUAAAUAACAGUCUCCCCAUCCUGGGCAAAACAAGAACGAAAUGAUUCUCAUACUCAAAUAGGGCAUCGUUAUAAUGCAGUGUCCAAUGCAGGCCCAUAGAGGGCUCAAGAGGGCCUUGACUUCCUUUGAACUUUGUGUAUAAACUGUGUUUACAACUGGCUUCUUUACUAAAUUCUUCUGUUGCCUUUUGAUCUUUAUGAGAUAAUAUUGUUGACCUUGACAUCCUGGGAAUAUAGUAUAGUCAGUGAUCUCAAGAAACGUGGGAGAAAGUGGUCAGUGUGAAGUAAUUUAAAAGAAAUUUCAGGGGCUUCCCUGGUGGUGCAGUGGUUGAGGGUCUGCCUGUCAAUGCAAGGGACAUGGGUUCGUGCCCCGGUCCAGGAAGAUCCCACAUGCUGCGGAGCGGCUGGGCCCGUGAGCCAUGGCUGCUGAGCCUGCAUGUCCGGAGCCUG